CAUCUUCACAUGUUGAGGGUGCUACUGGUCUCUCUUUGUCUGUGGUUUUUGGUUAAAAACUGUUUCAAAAAGAGUGUCACCAAAGACCUACAACAAGCAGAGAGUUUUCAGUCUCAUUGUGUUCACUCUUUUUUCCAAACAAGAUGCUGCGGAGAAUCGUCCUGAUCACCCUGCUGAUAUCCUCAGCUUGUGCUCUUCACUGGGAAAUGCACAUAAAAGAAUCUAUUGGAAAUCAACUUGAAGAAAGCUCUGGUGAGAUACAAACAGAACAACUCCCUGGAUUGUGCUGGGCUUGCAAGUGGGCCAUGGGGAAGCUGAAAAAACGAAUCUCCAAUGGGACAACUGCGGUGGAAAUUAAAAAGAAGCUUGAAGAUGUCUGUGAUCAGAUUGGCUUCCUGAAAUCACUGUGUAGGAAGUUUGUGAACAAGUACACGGACACUCUUGUCGAAGAACUUUCAACAACUGAUGACGCCAAAACCAUCUGUGUUAACAUUGGUGUUUGCAAGAAAAAGGAAUAGAGUUAAUGACCUUAAGGAAUCCUUGAUAAAUUGAAAAAAAUAUGCUUUUUUAUUUGUUUCUAAAGGGCUUUUCACACUGUACUUAACCAUGAGUUACUGUCAUUCUAAACCCAAUUUUUUAUUUAUUUUUUAACCCUGGGUAAAGGAACAUUUCACACUUGUAAUUUAGAAACUGAGUUAGAACCACUUUUUGAAACGAUGUGGUGUUAGAAUGUUACAUAAGCAGCCGUUUAGGGCCACAGGGAAUCAGGGGCAACAUCUGAUAUUGGCAAAACAUAUUUGGCAAACACUCCAAUGUGUACGACUAUUUGUGUUCUGGAAAGCAGCAAAUUGAUUGAUUGUUAAUUAACGGAACAUUGUGAGAUUGCAGUGAACUGAAGAGAAUGACAGCUUUUAGUGAUUAUAUAUAU